rnacentral:rRNA from 1 species
CUUUAUAUAUUUAAUAAGUUGAAUUUUAUUUUAAGUUAAAAUUCUUAAAUAAUUUUAAAAGACGAGAAGACCCUAUAGAAUUUUAUAAAAUUUUAUUUUAUUAGUAUGAAUUUUAUUUAAAAUUAGUUAAUAUUUAAUUUUAUUUUAUUGGGGCUAUAAAAAAAUUUAAUUAAAUUUUUUAAUUUAUGAAUUAUUAAUAAAUUUAUUUUUAAAAAUUAUUAUUUAUAUAAUUAAAUUAAAUUACCUUAGGGAUAACAGCGCAAUAUUUUUUAAAAGUUCAUAUUGGUAAAAAUGU